rnacentral:rRNA from 1 species
ACGACGCUGGCGGCGUGCCUAAUACAUGCAAGUUGAACGAUGAUAUUCUGGUACUUGUAUCAGAAUGAAGAGUAGCGAACGGGUGAGUAACGCGUGGGUAACCUACCUCUUAGCGGGGGACACACUAUUGGAAACGAUAGCUAAUACCGCAUAACAAUAUUAAACACAUGUUUAACAUUUGAAAGUACCAAUUGGUACACUAGGAGAUGGACCCGCGUUGUAUUAGCUAGUUGGUAGUGUAAUGGACUMCCAAGGCGAUGAUACAUAGCCGACCUGAGAGGGUGAUCGGCCMCAUUGGGACUGAGACACGGCCCAAACUCCUACGGGAGGCAGCAGUAGGGAAUCUUCGGCAAUGGACGAAAGUCUGACCGAGCAACGCCGCGUGAGUGAAGAAGGUUUUCGGAUCGUAAAACUCUGUUGUUAGAGAAGAACGUUGUGUAGAGUGGAAAAUUACACAAGUGACGGUAUCUAACCAGAAAGGGACGGCUAACUACGUGCCAGCAGCCGCGGUAAUACGUAGGUCCCGAGCGUUGUCCGGAUUUAUUGGGCGUAAAGCGAGCGCAGGUGGUUUAAUAAGUCUGAUGUAAAAGGCAGUGGCUCAACCAUUGUGUGCAUUGGAAACUGUUAGACUUGAGUGCAGUAGAGGAGAGUGGAAUUCCAUGUGUAGCGGUGAAAUGCGUAGAUAUAUGGAGGAACACCGGUGGCGAAAGCGGCUCUCUGGWCUGUAACUGACACUGAGGCUCGAAAGCGUGGGUAGCAAACAGGAUUAGAUACCCUGGUAGUCCACGCCGUAAACGAUGAGUGCUAGUUGUUUGGGGCUAUCCAGCCCUAAGUGACGCAGCAAACGCAUUAAGCACUCCGCCUGGGGAGUACGACCGCAAGGUUGAAACUCAAAGGAAUUGACGGGGGCCCGCACAAGCGGUGGAGCAUGUGGUUUAAUUCGAAGCAACGCGAA